GGAGAAAGGAGGUGGGGCGGCAAAGCCAGCCAGGAGGUUGGCCUAGAAGCAGCCACCCUUUAAAGAGUGCGUAAUAGCUCACUGAUCGAGCGCCCUUGCGCUGAAGAUGAACGGGGCUAAGCGAUCUGCCGAAGCUGUGUGAUGUCAAAAUGCAUCGGUAGGGGAGCGUUCCGCCUUAGAGGGAAGCAACCGCGAAAGCGGGGGUCGACGAAGCGGAAGCGAGAAUGUCG
rnacentral:ncRNA from 1 species